CCUACGGGUUGCAGCAGUGGGGAAUAUUGCACAAUGGGCGCAAGCCUGAUGCAGCCAUGCCGCGUGUAUGAAGAAGGCCUUCGGGUUGUAAAGUACUUUCAGCGAGGAGGAAGGCGAUAAGGUUAAUAACCUUGUCGAUUGACGUCACUCGCAGAAGAAGCACCGGCUAACUCCGUGCCAGCAGCCGCGGUAAUACGGAGGGUGCAAGCGUUAAUCGGAAUUACUGGGCGUAAAGCGCACGCAGGCGGUCUGUCAAGUCGGAUGUGAAAUCCCCGGGCUCAACCUGGGAACUGCAUUCGAAACUGGCAGGCUAGAGUCUUGUAGAGGGGGGUAGAAUUCCAGGUGUAGCGGUGAAAUGCGUAGAGAUCUGGAGGAAUACCGGUGGCGAAGGCGGCCCCCUGGACAAAGACUGACGCUCAGGUGCGAAAGCGUGGGGAGCAAACAGGAUUAGAUACCCCUGUAGUC
rnacentral:rRNA from 1 species